CCGAUUGGCCGAGGCUCUCCUCCAGCCGCCCAUUCCUUUCACGCCCGGACUCCCCUUCUAUUUCGCCCCCCAACCGCCCCUGCCCGGUCCACGAAACCCCGCACUCGCUCUCGCCACCGCCUCUUCCUCCUCUUCACCUUCGAAACCCCGCUGAACCCUAACCCCGAUCGAAGAUUUCCUUCUUGGUUCUACCAUCGUCGACACGAUUUCUUCAAGAUUUCGGCUUCAGGCCAUGGAGGUUUCUGCGUCCCUUGAGCGGGACUUGGGAAAGCCUAACCCCAAGCUCUCGAGAUUGCGGUCUUUAUAGAGGCAAAUCCGCUUGAGUUCGAGCUUCUCGAGCAGUGGGUAUUCUGGCUUGGGAUCUAUGUUUUCCGCUGUUGUUGAUGUGAAUUGCGGUGCCCAACGUUGGAUUGGGGCCGGCGUUUCUUGUUCCUGGAAUGUUGGUGCCGCGGGAUUCUUUGGGGUUGGCUCUCUCGCAGGUUUGUGGGCGUUCGCCUAUUGUUUGCCCGGGUGAAUUCGGAGAUGGAGGCAUCGGUUGUAGAAGAAGAAGAAGAAGAAAAAAAGGAUUGAGUUUUGGGAUCUUUUGGAGUGAGUUUCGGAGGAGCAGAUGGCGAUGCGGCGCGUGCAUGCUUCCAGCCGAGAAUAAAAAUUCGAAUUUGGACGUUGAGUUCUUGAAAUCUGCCAAGAGAAGUGUGAGAGCCCAGAAGCAAAUUGUUGCGAAACAGUUGUCCAGUGAACUGGAUUAUGCGGAAUCCGAGCCGAUGCAGAUUGCUUCCAGCUUUACAAACUACCAAGAUGAUCCGUUGGUGGAUAAAUUGAGGACUCAGCUUGGAGUGAUCCAUCCCAUCCCUUCUCCCCCCAUUAACAGGAGCAUUGCUGGCUUCUUUGUCUUUUUUUUCUUUGUUGGAGUUAUUUUUGACAAGAUUUGGACUUUUAGGAAGAGGAAUAAAUCAAUUCAGGAUGUUCGGAAUGGUACCUGGCCUCAGGUGCCAACCAGCUUCUCUCUGUUUCUGGAAAAAGAUCUUCAGAGGAAAGAGUCAGUUGAAUGGGUCAACAUGGUUUUGGGGAAGCUAUGGAAGGUUUACAGGUCUGGACUUGAAAAUUGGAUCAUCGGAUUGGUCCAGCCGGUGAUAGAUGACCUCAGGAAGCCUGAUUAUGUGCAGAGGGUUGAAAUUAAGCAGUUCUCGCUAGGAGAUGAACCAUUGUCUGUUAGGAAUGUCGAACGAAGGACUUCACGCCGUGUCAACGACUUGCAGUAUCAGAUUGGCCUUCGUUAUACAGGUGGUGCUCGCAUGUUGUUGUCCCUCUCCUUAAAAUUUGGCGUUAUCCCCAUUGUUGUACCUGUUGGAGUUCGUGAUUUUGAUAUUGAUGGGGAGCUUUGGGUUAAGUUACGUUUAAUACCUACAGAGCCUUGGGUAGGUGCUGUGUCAUGGGCUUUUGUCUCCCUUCCAAAGAUUAAAUUCGAGCUGUCACCAUUUCGUUUAUUCAAUCUUAUGGCAAUCCCUGUUCUAUCAAUGUUCCUGACGAAGCUUCUAACUGAAGAUUUGCCUCGACUCUUUGUUCGUCCAAAAAAAACUGUCCUUGACUUUCAGAAAGGGGAAGCACUGGGCCCUGUUUCAGAUUUUUUUAAAUCAAAUGCAGUUCAGGAAGGAAAUAAAGAUUUUGUUGGAGAGUUAUCAGUGACUCUAGUUGAUGCUCGGAAACUUGCUUAUUUUAUAUUUGGAAAGACAGAUCCAUAUGUUGUUCUAAGUUUGGGUGAUCAGGUAAUUCGAAGUAAGAAAAAUAGCCAGACAACUGUCAUUGGGCCACCUGGAGAGCCAAUCUGGAAUCAGGAUUUUCAUAUGCUUGUUGUGAACCCUAGGAAGCAGAAAUUAUAUGUCCAAGUAAAGGACUCCUUUGGAUUUCCAGAUUUCACUAUCGGCACAGGCGAGGUUGAGCUAGGAUCUCUUCAAGAUACAGUACCAACGGAUAGAAUUGUAGCUUUACAAGGAGGUUGGGGAUUGUUUGGGAACCGAUCUUCUGGGGAAAUACUACUACGCCUCACAUACAAGGCAUAUGUUGAGGAUGAAGAUGAUGAUAGUGUAGAACCAGAGUUUGGGUAUGUUGAUGCAUCUGAUGAUGAGAUACUUGACUAUGAACAAGCGAACAGCACAUCUGGACAAAGUAAAAGUGACCCUGAAGAAAAACAAAGAGAAUCAUUUAUGGACGUCCUAACAGCUCUGCUCGUAAGUGAGGAAUUUCAAGGCAUAGUGGCAUCUGAAACAGGAAAUGUGAAAGUUUCUGAGGAGUCCAAGUAUCCAGAAUCAACGAUAUCAAGAGCCCGUGGUCGUAAUGCUGAGACAUCACCUCUUGAACCUGAUAGUGUUUCAAGCGGUGCCAGAGACUCAACAUUGAUAUGGCUUGCUGUGAUAACAAGUAUAGGUGUGCUGAUUUCUAUUAAUGUCGGUGGUUCAAGUUUCUUCAAUCCAUGAUACCAUUCACCAUACCUGUGAGUGGCUGAAGCAUCUUACUUUGAUUAAAUCAAGUCAUGUUUUAUCUGCAAACAGUGACAACAUUUCAAGGUAGAGUAAUAAUCAACUAUACAGUUCUUUCUGGUACCUGCAAUCUGUAUUCAUUUCUGGUGUAAAUUCAGCUUACCAGCAGAGGAACAUGUUCAUGCGGCCUUUUUUCCCCACUUAUUUCCCCUGAUAUUUAUAGCGGUCGUCCCAUACCUUAUGUCCAUAUGCACCUUAUGUUGAUAUGCCUUGACACUUGUAUUUCUGAAUUUUCUUCGCUCCGUCAAGGCUUAAGUGAAGUGCACUUGCGACUACUUCAUGGGUUGUUGUUUUUGUGCAUAGGCCUAAUUUAUGUACUCCAAUUUAUUCUAAGAUGGCAUUCCUAAAUAUAGCCAUGCGUAUAUUUUCCAA